UGUGGGAGCUGGCUUGCCAGCGAUAGCGGUGGUUCAGUCAAAUUUAUUGUGACUGACAGGACCUCAUCGCUGGCAAGCCAGCUCCCACA
rnacentral:misc_RNA from 1 species